rnacentral:rRNA from 1 species
UACGAAGGGGGCUAGCGUUGCUCGGAAUCACUGGGCGUAAAGCGCACGUAGGCGGCUUACUAAGUCAGGGGUGAAAUCCUGGAGCUCAACUCCAGAACUGCCUUUGAUACUGGUGAGCUUGAGUCCGGAAGAGGUGAGUGGAACUGCGAGUGUAGAGGUGAAAUUCGUAGAUAUUCGCAAGAACACCAGUGGCGAAGGCGGCUCACUGGUCCGGUACUGACGCUGAGGUGCGAAAGCGUGGGGAGCAACAGGG